rnacentral:snoRNA from 1 species
UAUUCAAAUGAUGAUACACCAUUUUUAUAUUUUCUGGUACCUGUAAGUCUCCUCUUCUGUUGCAAGGGGUUUCAGUACUGACAUAUUUCAUAGCUUGAUUUAGAAACUCCUGCGGGAGUGACAAUGAUCUCACUGGACUUCUGAUU